AUGCACCCGGACUCAAUAGAAUGGAUGACUUUCUGGGUACCAGAUGGACUAUAUGAAUGGCUGGCAAUGCCAUUUGGGCUCAAAAAUGCCCCCAUAAUAUUUCAGAGAAAAAUGGAUGACUGCUUCAAAGGUACGGAACAAUUUAUAGCAGUCUAUAUAGACGACAUCCUAGUAUUCUCUGAAAAUACGAAGGACCAUGCUAGGCAUCUUCAUAAAAUGCUAGAAAUUUAUGCCUAUGCUAGCGGAAAAUUCAGCCCCAUCAAAUCAGCCAUUGACGCAGAAUUACACGCAGUCCUAAAAACUCUCGAAGCCCUAAAGAUCUACUAUCUGGACAAAAGAGAGAUCCUGAUAAGAACGGACUGCCAAACCAUAAUCAGCUUUUUCAACAAAUCGGCUCAAAAUAAACCAUCAAGAGUCCGAUGGAUGACAUUCAUUGAUUAUAUCACCGGAAGUGGGGUUGAAGUCCAAUUCGAACACAUCGAAGGGACAAGUAACAUCCUCGCCGACUCCUUAUCUAGAUUAAUCAACAUUCUUUUAAAUGCAGGAUGGAGGGAAGAACAAAAGGACCAACUAUCACUAUUGGCGGAAGCAACCCAAGAACUUAAGGCCAAGCCCAACCCAAAGGCGGAAGCCUUUCUGAAUCAAAUAGCCUGCAAAAUAAUAACCUCCUAUUCCAGUACACCGAUAAGCUCACCUGCCUUCAAAAGGGAAAGAAAAGGUUACUUAAUGAUGAAGACUCCACAAAGAGGACACUCGGAAUCCUACAACAAAAGGCAGCAGAACAAGCAAUCAAUGCCUUGCAGCAAUACAGAGACAUCCACUCACUAUCACUAUUGGCGGAAGCAACCCAAGAACUCAAGGCCAAGCCCAACCCAAAGGCGGAAGCCUUUCUGAAUCAAAUAGCUUGCAAAAUAAUAACCUCCUAUUCCAGUACACCGAUAAGCUCACCUGCCUUCAAAAGGGAAAGAAAAGGUUACUUAAUGACGAAGGCUCCACAAAGAGGACAUUCGGAAUCCUACAACAGAAGGCAGCAGAACAAGCAAUCAAUGCCUUGCAGCAAUACAAAGACAUCCACUCACUUAAAGUGGAAGAGUACCGGCGGCAAAGCUCAGGGAAAGACAACUGGUACAAAGACUGGCUACCAGAUGUCCUCCAACAACAACAAUAGCUGGAGAGAGCGUUGGGGCUUACAAAAGACACCGCCCAAAGGACGCCAAACUUCAGCAUCUAGGGACACGGUGGACCCCUAAAUAUGCUGAAAUCAUGCAAACCACCGCCACCUAACGCAAUAAGUUAGAAAGUCAUGGGCUGAGCCUCGGGGAGCCGCUCGACAAGAUAAGCUGGCACGCAGUAUAGAGCGUACCUUCACUACUUAGCAGCUAAGUAGCACUUUUGAGCUGUGCCUCGGGGAGCCACUCAAAAUUUAAAUAAUUGUACCCG
rnacentral:lncRNA from 1 species